rnacentral:rRNA from 1 species
GUGCCAGCAGCCGCGGUAAUACGUAGGGGGCGAGCGUUGUCCGGAUUUAUUGGGCGUAAAGAGCUCGUAGGCGGCUUGGCAAGUCGGGUGUGAAACCUCCAGGCUCAACCUGGAGACGCCACUCGAUACUGCUAUGGCUAGAGUCCGGUAGGGGACCACGGAAUUCCUGGUGUAGCGGUGAAAUGCGCAGAUAUCAGGAGGAACACCGGUGGCGAAGGCGGUGGUCUGGGCCGGCACUGACGCUGAGGAGCGAAAGCGUGGGUAGCAAACAGGAUUAGAUACCCUGGUAGUCC